rnacentral:rRNA from 1 species
UACGGGGGGGGCAAGCGUUGUUCGGAAUUACUGGGCGUAAAGGGCUCGUAGGUGGCCAACUAAGUCGGACGUGAAAUCCCUCGGCUUAACCGGGGAACUGCGUCCGAUACUGGUUGGCUUGAGUUUGGGAGAGGGAUGCGGAAUUCCAGGUGUAGCGGUGAAAUGCGUAGAUAUCAGGAGGAAUACCGAUGGCGAAGGCAGGUCUCUGGGCUAUAACUGACGCUCAUGCACGAAAGCGUGGGGAGCAAACAGG